rnacentral:lncRNA from 1 species
GCCGCCGCCAGGACCUGCAAGGAAAGUCUAAACCGGAGUUGGGGGUGCUCCGGUAAGACCCUCCGAUGCUCAAGUCAGUACUCUGCCUCAACAGAAAUGGAGCACUCGAAUGAGAUUUUAGCAGAGUUUGAGAAAGCUUGAGAAAACUUUCGAAAACUUACCAAAAUUAUUGCCUUACCCCAUUUUAUAGUAGAAUGCGGUAUGG